rnacentral:lncRNA from 1 species
AUGGGUGUGUGUGUGUGUGUGUGUGUGUGUGUGGAGAGAGAGAGAGAGAGAGAGAGAGAGAGAGAGAGAGAGAGAGAGAUCCAGAGCGCCCGAGCGAACAAGCGAGCGCUGGAGCCCUGGCUGGUGAAGCACCUCUCACCUCCCCCAGUCCGUGGCCAAAGCUUCUCUCAUUCUCAGCGCUGGCGGCUGGGGCGGGCGGGGCGGGGCGGGGGAGGCGCGGAGUGGGAGGGAAAGAGGGAGGACGGGGCAGCCUGCAGGGGCAGCAGCUCCUGCCUUCUCUGCAGCUCAGCGGUCAGGGGUGGAAGGAAGCCGCAGUCUCAGCCCCAAGUCAGCCCCCGCUGCCCCGUCCCACCGUCUCAUCACUCCCCCCUCGUGAAACUGCAGUUCAGCUGAGGCUUCCACUCCAAGCCCAGGAUGCACUCAGGAGCAGUGCUCAGGGAGAAGGAAAGCCCUAUUCUGGUGAGCUGUUUCUUUCAAUGACCCUACAUACAGUACAAUUUUCUUUAAUGUAUGGGGAUUGUGUGUGUUUCUAAAUUUUGGUGCUUUCUCAGUGAAUUAUGGGUAAGACCAAAGUUCCUCUCACUGUUUCUGCCUGUGCUGCUCAUGAUCUAUCCUGCUAACCCCUCAGAUCUAGGAUAUACAAAGGAAAACCCUUCCCAAAGUGGAAAGCAUGGUACAAAUAUCAGGCAUUACAAUGAAUUCCAGAACAAACUUCCUGGACUAUCUCCUAUGGCAAUUAACAAUCAGCCUAGGGGCCCAGUGGAUCAUUGUCUCUGUAGAAAUGAAAAUACUUGUUUUCCACUUGGUGGCUGGGAGCAUAUGUCUGUUUGAACUCUCCCAGUGUAGUUAAGCCCAAAUUUACCUAGCUUCUAGGCUAGACUUACUCACAUGGCCAUGCCUAUUCAAACACUGUGAUGGGAAUGACUGUCAAAAUGCAACUGAGAUUUCAAAAUUCAGGCACACUUUUUUCUAUUCUCUUCUUACAGCCUUAGCCAUAGUAAUAAAUGGUAUAUGUAGACCUGAGUUUAGUGUAAU